GACGAACCGUGCGAACGUUGUUCGGAAUCACUGGGCUUAAAGGGCGCGUAGGCGGGCGGACAAGUCCGGGGUGAAAGCUUUCGGCUCAACCGGAAAAGGGCCUUGGAUACUGUCUGUCUGGAGGGAGGUAGGGGCCCGUGGAACUUCCGGUGGAGCGGUGAAAUGCGUUGAUAUCGGAAGGAACGCCGGUGGCGAAAGCGACGGGCUGGAUCUCUACUGACGCUGAGGCGCGAAAGCCAGGGGAGCAAACGGG
rnacentral:rRNA from 1 species